rnacentral:rRNA from 1 species
UACGUAGGGGGCGAGCGUUGUCCGGAGUUACUGGGCGUAAAGCGCACGCAGGCGGUCUGCUAAGUUUGGAGUGACAGUUGGUGGCUUAACUGCCAAAGUGCUUCGAAAACUGACAGACUUGAGGGCUUCAGAGGGACACGGAAUUCCGGGUGGAGUGGUGAAAUGCGUAGAGAUCCGGAGGAACACCAAAGGCGAAGGCAGUGUUCUGGGUGGUACCUGACGCUCAGGGGCGAAAGCUAGGGGAGCGAACGGG